GGGAAUGCGGCUUAGUGGUAGAGUGCUUGUGUUGCAUACAUGAAGCCCUGGGUUCAAUUCCACAGUCCCA
rfam:Dipodomys ordii contig_51572, whole genome shotgun sequence.